UUUCACAUUCCAAACAUAGAGAUCUGUUUCCAUAGGAAUGCAUCUCUUGCUGUAGGAAUGUGCUCACAAGGCCAGUGGGAAAAAGUUAGCAAGGGUUCUUGGGUUCGAUCAAUGUCUCCUUUUGACCACAAUGCAAGCUCUUAGAUAUAAGGACUGCUAGCACAACACUGAAAAAUUUUGAGGUGUCUGCCGAAGAAGGCAAAUGGUCUUAGUUGUGUUUGUCAAAUUGAUGUGUUAUAGCUUCUUGUUGUGCUAUUGAUCCAUCUUAAAAACACUGUGAACCGGCUCUAAUGCAGUUCUCUCUGUCUCUCUCUCUCUCUCUCUCUCUCUUGCAGAAUUUUUUGCAUAUCGUGUUGUAUUGUUAAUAUUGGGUAUUACUCUAAUAAGCUUGGCAUCCUUCUUAAGCAAAUCGUUAGCAUUUUAUUAUAGCAGCGCAAUGGCAGUUGGGGUCAUUCUUAUGAUACUUAUGAUUCUUUACCAGCUGGCUUGAUAGAAAUUCCCUGACAGGAGAGGUUCCUACAAAUCUUUAUAAGAGAUGAGUUUGCAUAAUGAAGUUGGAGUGUUGGAGCAAGAAACAAAGAUGUUGGAGCAAGUUCCCGAGAUGAAACUCACACAAGAGACUAAGAAACUAAGGCAGGUUUGUUUUAAAGUUAAUUACAAAAGGAGGAAACUUUUUGCCUCCAAAUUUUAUUCAUCAUCACUUAGCUGAGCUACUUGUCUUGUAUAUUCAUAUUCUAAGUAGUGAAAACAGCACUUAGUUUAGGAAACUGGAUGGUAGAUUUGACUGAUUAGUGUUUAUUGCAAUGCUUGUAUUUUGGUAAAUUUAGUAAGACAAGGUUUUAUA